UCCCUUGUGACUCAGCUGGUAAAGAAUCUGCCUGCAAUGCAGGAGACCUGGGUUCAAUCCCUGGCUUUGGAA
rnacentral:tRNA from 1 species